rnacentral:rRNA from 1 species
UAGGGAAUCUUCGGCAAUGGACGAAAGUCUGACCGAGCAACGCCGCGUGAGUGAAGAAGGUUUUCGGAUCGUAAAACUCUGUUGUUAGAGAAGAACAAGGACGUUAGUAACUGAACGUCCCCUGACGGUAUCUAACCAGAAAGCCACGGCUAACUACGUGCCAGCAGCCGCGGUAAUACGUAGGUGGCAAGCGUUGUCCGGAUUUAUUGGGCGUAAAGCGAGCGCAGGCGGUUUCUUAAGUCUGAUGUGAAAGCCCCCGGCUCAACCGGGGAAGGUCAUUGGAAGCUGGGAGACUUGAGUGCAGAAGAGGAGAGUGGAAUUCCAUGUGUAGCGGUGACAUGCGUAGAUAUAUGGAGGAACACCAGUUGCGAAGGCGGCUCGCUGGUCUGUAACUGACGCUGAAGCUCGAAAGAGUGGGGAGCAAACAGG